rnacentral:lncRNA from 10 species
UAACUCCAAGGCCUCAUCUCAGCUACACUUGGGGAUAUUUUCCACUCCCUGCAUGGACCCAGAGUCCGGCUGAGGUCAUGUGGCGAGGUCAGAUAUUCUGAAAGUUAAUGCGUCCCCACUUUUGAGUGCCCCUUCUGGGUAGGCCAUUCCAAGAGGGGCUUAUAGGAAGUGCAAGGGAGACGGGCUUGAGCUGAGUUGGACGCACAGUGAGGGAUAUGUGUGGCGUGCACGGCGCACAUGUAUAUAAAGCCUGUGGGGCGCCUUUUCUUUUCACAUAGUGUGAUCCAGUCCUAUCAAUUACUAGGAUAUUGGCAUUUGUGAUCAUUGCGUCGUCUGGAAUUUUUUUCUGGAAAAAAGAGGAAACACAGCCAUCUGCCCAGAGCCAUCCAGAAUAUGUCCCAGAGGCCUGUCUGUGUGUACGCGCACUCAGAAGCCUGGGGGCCCUUUCCUUGUCUAAAUGUAGCUCCCCCACCGCGUCCCACCCCUGCACAGGAGCGAGGCCUGUGUCAACUUCAGCAGAGCGAGAAUGAGGACAGGCCCAGGGGCAGGGAACUGGACGAAGGGAGUUGGAGGCCUUUUCUUGGGAAUGGGUGGACCAUUGCCCUGCAUGGGGACAGGGACGGCACUGGUGGGGGAAGGAAAUCUUGAGCUGGUUUCGGCCUUGACCCUCAGCAGCUAGCCCCGGGAGCUCUCAUUCUCUGGACGCCAGGGCCUUGGGUUCCUUGGCAGAGUUGGUGAAAUAAAAUCAAAGACCCAAUGAAAAAGCUCUUGAAAAGGUAAGAGGUCUGCCCAGAGCCAAGGUUUGUUGCCGAUCCUGGGAUUAGCUGACUUCUGGGCAUUUGGAGCCUGCAGCCGUCUGGACAUGAUCUGGGGACAAGUGGAGGCCAAGAACUGAAUAUCAGAGAGAGUCUCAGAGAGAAGGAAUGUGGACUAUGGCAGGUUGCCAGGGAUCACUCAUGCACACGGAUGUUUUGUUUCAUUUUUUAGAAACUUUGGGAGAGGAAAUAAGGGGGAGAAAAUGUAGAAUAUAUUGCAUUUCAGAA